AUGUUACUACAAAAUAAAUUAAUUAGAGUGAGAGAGGGUCAUGUAAUUCCACCUACAGAAGAGUUGGGUAGGAGAGCUUAUUGCAAGUGGCACAAUUCUUUCUCCCAUGCUACUAAUGAUUGUAACAUGUUUCAUCAACAGGUGCAAUCGGCCAUUAAUGAAGGACGAUUGACGUUUACAGAAAGUUCUAAGAUGAAGCUCGAUAGUGACACUUUUCCUAUCAAUGUGGUCGAGCUUGAGAGUAAGAAAAUGCUUAUUCGGUCGGAUCAGAUCGAAUCCGCAAGAAAGAAAAAUGUUGUUGAUGAUAAUGCUUCUCCAAGGAUGAUCAAACAAAAAAUACAGAAUUAG
rnacentral:rRNA from 1 species